AAUAGAGUUUCAUUAACAUUUGUUCUUAUAACAAAAUUUAAAUAGUGGAACCAAGUCCCAUUGUAAACACAUGAUCCUUAAAUUUUAAUGGUAGCAUGCCUUUAGUUAAAGGAUCAGCUAUCAUCAAUUCAAUUCUAGCAUAUUCUAUGACCACUUUCUUAUCUUUAACAUGUUCUCUUAUGGUUAAGUACUUAAUGUCGAUGUGUUUAAUUCGACUACCCCUUUCGUUGUUUUUAGUUAUGAAGACAGUAG
rnacentral:lncRNA from 1 species